GGAUGGUCUCUAGCAAGCGCGCAUGCCCAGGCAGGAAAGUCAAGAGCAAGAUGUUGCUCGGUAACAGAGUUGUCGUUGGAUCCCAGGGAUCAGCAUUCACUGGACACCUAAAUGAGACUCCUGCCUAAAACAGGCUGGCGACUGGGUCAGCCACAUGGAAGCCCCCAGGAAAAUGGCAGCAGAACUUUGCGUUGGAUGGGCAGUGUCUGUUCCAUUUCCUUCCCCCAGCACAAAAUUGGAAAAAAGAGGGACUUUUUUUUGGAUUAAGGACCAAAGUGGCAAUCUGUGCAUGGAGCUGGAGGACGUAGGUAAGAUUUUGAAUGAUUACUUUUCAUCUGUGUUCACUAUGGAGAAGGACAAUAUAGGCGUAGAAAUCAAGGAGGGGAACUGUGAUAUACUUGAACAAAUUAGCAUUGA